rnacentral:tRNA from 1 species
GAGGGUACAGCUCAGUGGUAGAACGCAUGCUUAGCAUGCAGGAGGCCCUGGGUGCAAUCCCCAGUACUUCCA